GACAGAGGGGGCAAGCGUUGCUCGGAAUUACUGGGCGUAAAGGGCGCGUAGGCGGGAUGGCAAGUCGGUCGUGAAAUCCCUCGGCUCAACCGAGGAACGUCGAUCGAUACUGCUGUUCUUGAGGAUUGCAGAGGAGACUGGAAUUCCCGGUGUAGCGGUGAAAUGUGUAGAGAUCGGGAGGAACACCGGUGGCGAAGGCAGGUCUCUGGGCCACUACUGACGCUGAGAAGCGAAAGCAUGGGGAGCGAACAGG
rnacentral:rRNA from 1 species